rnacentral:rRNA from 1 species
GGGCGUAAAGAGCUCGUAGGCGGUUAGUCACGUCGGAUGUGAAAACCAGGAGCUUAACUCCUGGCCUGCAUUCGAUACGGGCUGACUAGAGUGUUGUAGGGGAGACUGGAACUCCUGGUGUAGCGGUGAAAUGCGCAGAUAUCAGGAAGAACACCGGUGGCGAAGGCGGGUCUCUGGGCAACUACUGACGCUGAGGAGCGAAAGCGUGGGGAGCAAACAGGAUUAGGUACCCUGGUAGUCCAUGCCGUAAACGGUGGGCGCUAGGUGUGAGGGUCUUUUCACGACUUUCGUGCCGUAGCUAACGCAUUAAGCGCCCCGCCUGGGGAGUACGGCCGCAAGGCUAAAACUCAAAGGAAUUGACGGGGGCCCGCACAAGCGGCGGAGCAUGUGGAUUAAUUCGAUGCAACGCGAAGAACCUUACCUGGGCUUGACAUACACCGGACCGCUGCAGAGAUGUAGUUUCCCUUUGUGGCUGGUGUACAGGUGGUGCAUGGUUGUCGUCAGCUCGUGUCGUGAGAUGUUGGGUUAAGUCCCGCAACGAGCGCAACCCUCGUUCUAUGUUGCCAGCACGUAAUGGUGGGAACUCAUGGGAUACUGCCGGGGUCAACUCGGAGGAAGGUAAU